ACGAGGCACCCCCCUUUCGCUCUGAAGAAGUCUCCGGCAAGGCACCCCCCUUUCUCUGAAGUGGAGCAAGUAUAGAGCAAAGCAACCGUGUCCGAUCCAGAAAAAGUGAAAUCGAGAGCUUCUUCAAUUCUCUACCAGCUUCUUCUUCAAUCUCUCUCUCUCUCUCUCUCUGAGUCGCAGUCAAUGAAGCUGUUGCGGUUAGCGUUCGUCAUUGCUUUACUGUUUGGAUUGGUCGCCAUCCUCAUCUACAUCACCGGAGUCUCCGAUCUCUAUGAGAUCAAUCGGUUCACCGAUGAUGAUUUGGAAGCGCUGCAAAAUCUGCAGAGCCGUUUCCAGAAAUGUGUGAAAGAUCCCAAAACCAAUGAGCUUGAAGGUUUAUCGUAUGAGUUUAAUCUGUGUGAAGCUUUGGCUACUUGGGAACAGAAUUAAUCUGUUUCCUGAAACAAUAUUAUUGAUGCUCUUCUUGGAUAUGAAGUUGCAUGUGAAUGAGUGUUCUUUUAUCAAUCCCCCUGUGCUGGGAAAUAGCUUUAGGUGUGGACAAUUUGCAACACCAGUAUACAUUCACUGAAAAGAGACGAGUUGUAUUCAGAAGAAAAUAGAAAACAAGUGCUUGCAGCAUCUACCUUUUUUAUUUAUUUAUUGGCCGUUGUGCUGUUAUCGGAAACUCGGGCGAUCUUUUAAAAACAAAGUUUGGGAGAGAGAUAGAUGGCUAUAAUGCAGUUGUUAGAGAAAAUGGUGCACCAAUUCAGAACUAUACUAAUCAUGUGGGCAAGAAAUGUACAUUUUGGCUUCUUAAUAGAGGAUCCGCUAAAGCUCUUGAUAAAGUUGUGGAGUUAGAUGAGUCCAGGAAGGAGGUCUUGAUCAUCAAAACAACAAUUCAUGACACUAUGAACAAGAUGAUUCGGUUGUACAGAAAAAUCUUGAGGUGGGCAGGGUACUAUCUGUUGAUGUUUCUUGUAUAGUAGUUGUGACUAGCUACAACAGUCAACGUCCAAAUCAAAUACAAUGGGCCCAUGAGAAGAGCAGUGUUUGGUAUAACUGAGAUCCUCAAGCUAGUAAGAAGGCUUUACAGACUCAUUCUAGAUUCUGCAAAAGAGAGGGAAAAUAUUGAUGGGCGCACCAUUUUCUGCGUCUGCUGGCAUAUAAUAUUCACAUGCAGCAGCUGCUCAUAUUUUUGUCAAUAAUCAUAUUAAUUUUUUAUGGUUUAUUGAUAUUGAUAAUGGCAUGGCACUAGAAUGCUAUCUUGUUUUGGAAU